rnacentral:rRNA from 1 species
AACGAACGCUGGCGGCAUGCCUAACACAUGCAAGUCGAACGAGACCUUCGGGUCUAGUGGCGCACGGGUGCGUACCGCGUGGGAACCUGCCCUUAGGUUCGGAAUAACUCCCCGAGAGGGGUGCUAAUACCGGAUAAUGUCUUCGGACCAAGGAUGUAUCGCCUCUGGAUGGGCCCGCGUUGGAUUAGCUGGUGGGUAGGGGACAAGCCUGGCAAGGCGGCGAUCCAUGGCUGGUCUGGGAGGAGGAGCAGCCACACUGGGGCUGAGGCACGGCCCAGACUGCGACGGGAGGGAGCAGUGGGGAAUAUUGGAGGAGGGGGGAAAGCCUGAUCCAGCCGUGCGGGGUGAGUGGUGAAGGGGUUAGGGUUGUAAAGCUCUUUUACCCGGGAUGAGAGUGACGGUAACGGGAGAAUAAGCGCCGGCUAACUCCGUG